rnacentral:rRNA from 1 species
GUAACAGGUUAAGCUGACGAGUGGCGAACGGGUGAGUAAUGCAUCGGAACGUGCCCGAUCGUGGGGGAUAACGUAGCGAAAGUUACGCUAAUACCGCAUAUGCCCUGAGGGGGAAAGUGGGGGACCGUAAGGCCUCACGUUGUCGGAGCGGCCGAUAUCAGAUUAGCUAGUUGGUGGGGUAAAGGCCUACCAAGGCGACGAUCUGUAGCGGGUCUGAGAGGAUGAUCCGCCACACUGGGACUGAGACACGGCCCAGACUCCUACGGGAGGCAGCAGUGGGGAAUUUUGGACAAUGGGGGAAACCCUGAUCCAGCCAUGCCGCGUGAGUGAAGAAGGCCUUCGGGUUGUAAAGCUCUUUCGGACGGAAAGAAAUCCUAUUCACUAAUACUGAGUGGGGAUGACGGU